CUGAACACCCUCUGAGGAAUGGUCUUCAGUUCCAAAGACUACCCACUGGUUUAAGUCAAAAUCUAAGAACAGUGGAAAUUUUGCAAUUCAGGAUUCCAGUCAGCCAUUAAGCUAUGAUAUCUCACACAGGCCAUUUUCAAGCAAUGAGUCAACCAGGUCACAGAAGCUUUGCAGGAGUUGUCUCACCUUCCAAAUCUGCUUCCAUGGUCUCUCUGCUCUCUACUCAGUACACAUGGCACAGACCAAUGUGAAUAACAGCUCACUUCUAUGUAUCAGCUGGAUUUAUCCACAAAGUCUAGCUGCAUUUGACUACUGGCAGUCUCAGCACGGAGCCAGGUCGCCGGCAGUUACUGAGCGACACGUAUCACACAGCCUCAUGAUCCUGAGCUGCACGGUCUGGUGAGAUCCCAGAACAGCUGCCUGUGUGAGCAGAAAAGGACACUGAGAACUAGGCAGAAAAAAAAUGCUUACAAAAACACCAUAAUCAAAAUCUUCCCCAGAGAAGCAAACAACUACAGAUUUGGCUGCAAUGAAGAGGUGGAACAAAGGACUUCUGGAUCUCCAGCGAAAGACAGAAGGCAUCUCAACCAUCCCCAUAGCUCACACAUCUCAGCACUUGGCACAGAACAGGUAUUCACUCACAUAAAGUCCAUCUCCCUGGUCCUACCUAUCUACCCAUUGUGCUACACAGAAAAGAAGCAGACCUGCAAUGUCAAGCCACAGACCCUAGUGCAUCCA